rnacentral:tRNA from 3 species
GCAGUCGUGGCCGAGCGGUUAAGGCGAUGGACUCGAAAUCCAUUGGGGUCUCCCCGCACAGGUUCGAAUCCUGUCGGCUGCG